rnacentral:tRNA from 1 species
CGGAGCGUAGCUCAAUUUGGAUAGAGCGCCCAUGACGUCUGGGAGGUUGCAGGUUCGAGUCCUGACGCUCCGACCA